rnacentral:snoRNA from 8 species
GUCUAAAGGGGUAGGUCUCGCUAUCCAUGAUGACGAUUCAAGAUAUUCCCGUUCAGAGCAUGAAUCUGGUGGCUAGAUAUGACUUUGCUCAUGUUUCUUCCACCUUUGAUGAUCUUUCCUUGUUCUUCAAUGAACAUGGAUGAAGGGAAUAUGUUCUGAGUGGA